GAUGAACGCUAGCGGCAGGCCUAAUACAUGCAAGUCGAACGGUGUCUUCGGACAUAGUGGCGCACGGGUGCGUAACACGUAUGCAACCUACCUUACAUUGGGGGAUAACCUUUCGAAAGGGAGAUUAAUACCGCAUAAGACAGUAACUAGGCAUCUAGUAGCUGUUAAAGAUUUAUCGAUGUAAGCUGGGCAUGCGUCCAAUUAGCUAGUUGGUGAGGUAACGGCUCACCAAGGCAAUGAUUGGUAGGGGAACUGAGAGGUCAAUCCCCCACACUGGCACUGAGAUACGGGCCAGACUCCUAUGGGAGGCAGCAGUAGGGAAUAUUGGGCAAUGGACGCAAGUCUGACCCAGCCAUGCCGCGUGCAGGAUGAAGGCGUUAUGCGUUGUAAACUGCUUUUAUACAGGAAGAAACGACUCUUGCGAGAGGCAUUGACGGUACUGUAUGAAUAAGCACCGGCUAACUCCGUGCCAGCAGCCGCCGUAAAAC
rnacentral:rRNA from 1 species